UACAGGCAACCACAUUGGAGGUUUCUUCUGU
rnacentral:piRNA from 1 species